rnacentral:rRNA from 2 species
UCCAUGUGUAGCGGUGAAAUGNGUAGAUAUAUGGAAGAACACCAGUGGCGAAGGCGGCUUUCUGGUCUGUUACUGACGCUGAGGCUCGAAAGCAUGGGUAGCGAACAGGAUUAGAUACCCUGGUAGUCCAUGCCGUAAACGAUGAAUACUAGGUGUUGGAGGGUUUCCGCCCUUCAGUGCCGCAGCUAACGCAUUAAGUAUUCCGCCUGGGGAGUACGACCGCAAGGUUGAAACUCAAAGGAAUUGACGGGGGCCCGCACAAGUGGUGGAGCAUGUGGUUUAAUUCGAUGCUACGCGAAGAACCUUACCAGCUCUUGACAUCUUCUGCCAACCCAAGAGAUUGGGCGUUCCCUUCGGGGACAGAAUGACAGGUGGUGCAUGGUUGUCGUCAGCUCGUGUCGUGAGAUGUUGGGUUAAGUCCCGCAACGAGCGCAACCCUUAUUAUUAGUUGCCAGCAUUUAGUUGGGCACUCUAGUGAGACUGCCGGUGAUAAACCGGAGGAAGGUGGGGACGACGUCAAAUCAUCAUGCCCCUUAUGAGCUGGGCUACACACGUGCUACAAUGGAUGGUACAACGAGUCGCGAAACCGCGAGGUCAAGCUAAUCUCUUAAAGCCAUUCUCAGUUCGGAUUGCAGGCUGCAACUCGCCUGCAUGAAGUUGGAAUCACUAGUAAUCGUGGAUCAGCAUGCCACGGUGAAUACGUUCCCGGGCCUUGUACACACCGCCCGUCACACCAUGAGAGUUUGUAACACCCAAA